AUUGAACGCCGGCGGCAUGCCUUACACAUGCAAGUCGAACGGCAGCACGGGUGCUUGCCCCUGGUGGCGAGUGGCGAACGGGUGAGUAAUACAUCGGAACAUGUCCUGUAGUGGGGGAUAGCCCGGCGAAAGCCGGAUUAAUACCGCAUACGAUCUACGGAUGAAAGCGGGGGACCUUCGGGCCUCGCGCUAUAGGGUUGGCCGAUGGCUGAUUAGCUAGUUGGUGGGGUAAAGGCCUACCAAGGCGACGAUCAGUAGCUGGUCUGAGAGGACGACCAGCCACACUGGGACUGAGACACGGCCCAGACUCCUACGGGAGGCAGCAGUGGGGAAUUUUGGACAAUGGGCGAAAGCCUGAUCCAGCAAUGCCGCGUGUGUGAAGAAGGCCUGCGGGUUGUAAAGCACUUUUGUCCGGAAAGAAAUCCUUGGCCCUAAUACGGUCGGGGGAUGACGGUACCGGAAGAAUAAGCACCGGCUAACUACGU
rnacentral:rRNA from 1 species